rnacentral:rRNA from 1 species
GACGUAGGGCGCGAGCGUUGUCCGGAUUUAUUGGGCGUAAAGAGCUCGUAGGCGGUUUGUUGCGUCGGCUGUGAAAACCUGCGGCUUAACUGUGGGCUUGCAGUCGAUACGGGCAGACUUGAGUUCGGCAGGGGAGACUGGAAUUCCUGGUGUAGCGGUGAAAUGCGCAGAUAUCAGGAGGAACACCGGUGGCGAAGGCGGGUCUCUGGGCCGAUACUGACGCUGAGGAGCGAAAGCGUGGGGAGCGAACAGG